rnacentral:rRNA from 1 species
AGUGAACGCUGGCGGUAGGCCUAACACAUGCAAGUCGAACGGCAGCACAGGAGAGCUUGCUCUCUGGGUGGCGAGUGGCGGACGGGUGAGGAAUACAUCGGAAUCUACUUUUUCGUGGGGGAUAACGUAGGGAAACUUACGCUAAUACCGCAUACGACCUACGGGUGAAAGCAGGGGACCUUCGGGCCUUGCGCGAUUGAAUGAGCCGAAGUCGGAUUAGCUAGUUGGCGGGGUAAAGGGCGACCAAGGCGACGAUCCGUAGCUGAUCUGAGAGGAUUAGCAGCCAAACUGGAACUGAGACACGGUCCAGACUCCUACGGGAGGCAGCAGUGGGGAAUAUUGGACAAUGGGCGCAAGCCUGAUCCAGCCAUACCGCGUGGGUGAAGAAGGCCUUCGGGUUGUAAAGCCCUUUUGUUGGGAAAGAAAUCCAGCUGGCUAAUACCCGGUUGGGAUGACGGUACCAAAGAAUAAGCACCGGCUAACCUCGUGCCAGCAGCCGCAGUAA